UCAAAUGUUGUUUUAUGGCAUACUAAAUUAUGGAUUGUUUCUGGCUAGGUGGUUUAAAUAAUCAUCAGAUUUUGAUUAGAUUGGCUGCAGUGUGCCAACAUUUUCAAGAGCAGAAAUGCAACAGCUAAAAAUGGAGGAAAAACUGAAGCUGGCUUCACUGAAACCGGAGAAAGAAAAACCAAGCCAACCCAAUCUUUGAAGGUUUGUUCAGCAGUGUUAUUGUGAGUGUUGAAAUCCAGAGACCAAGCGUGAUGCUUUUGCAGGGUUGCAGCAUAGAGCACUCAUUAGAUCAUGUGCUUUUUUUGAUUUUUAUUAAUGGGAAAAUCGGGUAACCUUGCUAACGUAGCAAUAUGGCGUGUGUCUUCUUCGGUCAUUAGGUCGUCAUUGACUAAAUUCCACCUAUCCGCCAUUUGUUUCCCAGCCACUGACUGAAAACGUAUUUCAAUAUUCAUCACGGGUAAUAAUACGGUGUCUGAUACAUUUUCAGUCAUCAAAACUAAUCGGUAAUUCUAGUUUUGAACUUGAAAUUUCUUGAAUUUGCUGAAUGUUACAUUUAUCUGUGAGUUUACAGGUUUCACUGGCCAUUUGAUGUUCAAGCUGUAAAUGGAGAUGCUGCCCAAUAAAGAGAUGGCAAAAGGUGUGCUGCUGCUGUCCUUCCUUAUCACACUGGAUUUAUCAGUGAUGUUGUGAAACCAGAAUUGCCAGAUGACGGCCCAGACCUAUUCCUUACGGCGUAUUUUCUUUCCUCACGUUUUCUUCAUAAGAAUGUUAUUUGUGUGGUAACCUAGCCUAUAAUUUCUACUUGGAAAUUACAGCUGAUCAUGUGGCCUGAGCCUGAGCAUCUGUACCAUGAUCUGUACAUUUUGCCAAGAUGUCUUCUCUUUUUCCUGUACGUACCGGCUGUACGUUUUGUAAGAAACACUUCAGAACAAAUCAGUCUGGUAAAGUCUGAGCUUCGUCAUUGCUGCCCAAUGAACACAUGGAUUUUAUGCAGCCAGCUGGAAAAGGUUGUUCCUCUUGCUAACUGUACUGCUAUGUGUUUCGUCAAAUGAAGAAACAUAAACAACUGAAGUUUAUCGUGUAUGUUCGCGUAGUUUCUGUCCGCUGUGGUACGUUGUUGCAGCCUAUGCUGGUGAUAGAUCUUUCUGCAUCAAAUUCCCUUGGUGCUGGUGUCGUGUUACCGAAGUUGCAUCAUUAUUUUGUUAAAUUAUCAUCGUGACUAUUGCAGUUUACCGUUAAUAAGUUCAGAAGCAACAAAAAAGAAAUUCGGGAUGUUUAUGUCAAACAAAUAAUAAACAUUUUUUCGGGAUUGGGAAAGGGAAGUGGAGGAUGUUGGAGGGGGGAUAUUUCAAGUUUGGA